rnacentral:lncRNA from 1 species
GUUCUUUGGCUCUUGUGUGAGUGGAUGGUGACACCAGGCCAGCUGGGGAUUCUUCCCAGGCUGGGCUCACAGGCUGGGGCUGGGCACACGGAGCAGCUGCGGGAAAAGGAUCUGGACACCAGCCCCCCAGCGUGUCACCGGCAGGAAGGUGAGGUGGGAACAGAGUGACGUCCAUGCAUGUUCAGGACUAAGCCAGUGGAUCACAAACAUCCUGGAGAGCAGUGACUCUGUGAUUCCAUCACAAGAAUAUGAAGGACUGAGAAGAUCUCCAGCUCUGCCCAUUGCACCUUCCCAUUGAGAAGCAGCAUGGCACCCUGGUGGCAGGGGCUGAUACUCAGCCGGGCCAGGGUGCUCUCCUGUUAACCAUAACCAAGCUCACAGGACAUGGGAUGAGCCCACUGUGUGACACAGGGAGCGGGACACAGUCUGUUAAGUCUUGCACAGCCAUGCUCUGCCACGCAGGCAGGCCUUUCCUUGGCCUCCCUCUCCCUGUUCGUGCUCAUGUGAACAUCCACCUACGUGGAUAGACUGGGCUUUGGUUCAUUAUUGCUCUGUGAAUUCCUCGAACUUCCGCAUCUGCCCAACCUCCCCCACCCCAUUGUUUUCAUUGUGUUUCACCAAAUGGAAAUUCUAGAGUAAGCAUAUAGAAUCUUCAACUCGGAGGCACCAGUCUCUCUCACUUGAGGAAAGAAUGCGAAGGAAGGAAUGGCCUGACUUCCUCAUGUGUGCCCUGUUUCUCGGUAGGCACCAUGUGGGGGCUGCCACACAUGUGCCGAAGCUUUGGGAACGUUCCGUUUAAAUACCAAUUUCGAUGCCAAUGCCUAACAUGGAGCACAAAUAUCCAGGUACCUCUCUGAUUUCUUCUCUUAUGCUUCAAACUCUUUGAGAACAGAAAUUUUUCUCAUUUGUGUUUGUAUCAUCUGUAGUAUUUAGCAAUGCCUUGCCUAUAGUAGGUAGGUGCUUAAUGACUAUUGUAUUCCAUUAGGGCCUAUUCAGUGAUGGUUUAAGUUUAGAAAAGAGUUUCCCUUGCAUUCAGUUUGCCAGUUUUUGAUCAGCAUCAUUAAAGGAGAACUAGCUUUACCUCUUUAAUAAUUUGUUUAAUUCUAAAUCAGUAAAAUUUUUGUGGUAUGCUGACGACAUGGCCUAAGCUAUUGCAGGAGGUUGAGAUAUUCAAGGUGAUAGAAAAAUAUCUAAGACCAAAUUCCUGUCCUGAAGAAGCUCACAUAGUUGUGGGAGCCAUAGAUAAGAAAGAAGCAUUUACGAAGCACAUCAAAAGUGUCUCAGAAGAGCUGUAUACUUGGCCAUGGGGGCAGCAGGUAAGAAGAGGAGGGAAGGGAAGAGGAGGGGAGGGAAGAGUAAGAGAGGGGAGGGAAAAGGAGGGAAGGGGAGCAGAGGAGAAGACUCCCGUAAAUCACAAUAUCCAAAUUUGGCAACUAUUUUGUUCUGAUUUUAUUGGUUCUUCACCCAAAACAUAUUGCCUAAGACACCCCUUGAUUCAACCUUCCUCCCUCUUAAUUUCCAGAAAUAUGAAGUUGUCAGUAAGGUCAGCCAAAAAUCACGUUUGACAUGUGGUGGAAAUUCUGGGUGUCCUUUGUAGAUGAAACUCAUAUAAGCAAAAAUUCUAGUGGCAUUUUGGUGGGAGAAGGAAGAAAGGGAAGAGUGAGGUUAAGGAAAUAUUUCCAAACGUAUUAAUUGAACGUGUACAGGUAUAACAACACCUCCAACACUGUCCUCUUCUAGUCUGACUCCUGGGGGGAAAGGGGGAGUGAGACUAGAAAGGGUUGUCAGGGUGGAACACAGGGCUGGAAGUUGGAAGGCAUCCCUGGGUGCUCACCUUUCAGCUCCCGCUCAAGCAUCCCCUCAGCCUGCACACCUCCAGGACUUGCUGCUUUCUGUGCUGUUCUCAACACCAGGGUCCUUUCCUCCAGAAGUGGGACCUCUUAAGUGUGAGAAAAGAACUUGUUCUUUUAAGAUGGUACCUGAAUGACUUUUGAAAUUUAAUUAGAACCUGUAGUUUUUCAAAGCCUCCUGUUAUAGACCGAAUGGUACCCUCCUACAUUCAUAUACCGAAGCCCUGACCCUGGCGUGGCUGCAUUUGGAGAUAGGGUCUCUAAGGAGGUGAUUGAGGUUAAAUGAAACCAUAAGAAUGGAGCUCCAAUCCAGUAGUGCUGGUGUCCUUGCAAAGAAGAGGAAGAGGCAUCAGAGAUGCACAAGCAUGGAGAAAAGGCCAUGUGAGGACACAGCAAGAAGGUGGCUGUCUGCAAACCUGGAAGAGUGUCCUCACUAGAAGCCAUCCAUGCUAGCACCUUGAACUCCAGAACCAUGAGAAAAUAAAUUUCUGUUUUUAAGCCACCCAA